UGAUUCUAGCCUUUCCUGCCCUGUCUUCCUCCUCAUCCUCUCACGUUGGUUGUACCGAUGCUGUGACUUGCUUUGGCUACCUACCUGGGCACUACACAUUAUCUGCAGUGGAAGGGGCAGUUAGGUGACAGCAAUGUUACUUUCUGUUCCUGAGAUACAGUGUUUUAAUGUGUUUAUCAUACACAGCUUUUCUUAUAGGAAAACAGAAAAAUCAGCAUAACUCUAUUUAAAGUGUUAAAGGAAUCUGCUACUGCAGAUUGGCUGAGCAUUCUCUAACAGAACUUUGGAAGAGCAUCUCACUCUGUAACUCUGUUAAGGCAGAAGAAAAGUACCACACUCGUAGUAAAACUAACUAAGGCCACCCAUGAAUUGUCUUAGAGCUUUAUUCUUUUCAAGAUUCCAGGGAAAUAUUAAUUAUUUGUACUUUUUCUUAUAAAUCAGUAACAUAGAAAAAUUAGUCAGAUGGGCCAUCAAGGCUGGAGCUUAGGUUUCUCUAAGCAAGGAAGCUGACCUAGGAUACCUUAGAGCCUAGCGCUUUGUUAAUUUUAUAUUUUCAAUUCUGUUUACACAGAUGCUUGCAUUGGGCAAUCAGGUUGGCAAACUGUAUGUUUGGGAUUUAGAAGUAGAAGAUCCUCAUAAAGCCAAAUGCACAACACUGACCCAUCAUAAAUGUGGCGCUGCUAUUCGACAAACCAGUUUUAGCAGGGAUAGCAGCAUCCUCAUAGCUGUCUGCGAUGAUGCCAGCAUUUGGCGUUGGGAUCGACUUCGAUAAACUAUUUUUCCCUAGUAAAAAUUAGAAUAUGUUGUCUGUGUAAAAUAGAAUUAAUGUAUCUUGCUAGCAAAGGGACUAGAGCAUUUAGACUUGUCUUUCAGCAUCCGAUCAGGCUGAGCUGAAUGUAGUGGUGUUUACAUUGUUUACAUUCUUUGUACUGUCUUCCUGCUCAGACUUUACUGCUUUUAAUAAAAAUUUAUUUUUGU
rnacentral:lncRNA from 1 species